rnacentral:rRNA from 1 species
CCCUUAGAUGUUCUGGGCCGCACGCGCGCUACACUGACUGGUUCAUCGAGUAUACAACCUUGACUGAUAGGUCUGGGUAAUCUUCUCAAAGCCAGUCGUGCUGGGGAUAGAUUAUUGUAAUUUUUAAUCUUCAACGAGGAAUUCCUAGUAAACGCGAGUCAUCAACUCGCAUUGAUUACGUCCCUGCCCUUUGUACACACCGCCCGUCGCUCCUACCGAUGGGUGAUCCGGUGAAUGAUUCGGACUUCAGCGGCUCCCCUGGGGUGCGCCGGAGAAAGUUUUGUGAACCUUAUCACUUGGAGGAAGGAGAAGUCGUAACA